GGCUUCAAGGGUGAUCUGAUUGCAACAUCUGUCACCCCAUUGAUCACCAGGGUUGAUUCAGCUGCUCUGGCCGACUAGGCUGGUGUCCUCUUCCUCCCUCACUGAUCCAUGUGUGUUCCUCCAGAAGCUGUGUGCUCCAUCAAAGAGGAUGACCUUCCCAAUAGAGGAAGAUCAGUCUUCGGUCAAGGGUAUACUAGUAGCUAUGCUCCCCUGCUAGAACUUACAAACAUGUUCACAAAACCCCUGUAUGCUGUCCGGUAUCCUGCUACAUUCUUUGUUGAUG
rnacentral:snRNA from 1 species